rnacentral:lncRNA from 1 species
GUCAGAUGAAGGGACAGUUGGAGGCCUCAGGCUAUAAUUAGAGAUUUUCUCCGAUCAUUAUAACUAGUCUCAAGUUGAGUACACUUUUACUCAGCUUCUUCUUUCUCCCUCAUAACUCUUCGCCAAUGCCUUUCUAGCAAACUUCUCUCCCUUUCUUUCCCUAACACUAAGAAUUGGCACGUACAACAAAAUUAUGAGAAUUUUGAGAACUGACAUUGAUAGUCAUAUUGUGGGAAAAGAAUUGACAUGAGUAGCCAUCACAAUAGACAAAUAUAUAUAGCAAAUGGUAAUAAGAUGUACAUAGGUUGACUUAUUGAAAAUCCAAGGUCAUAAAUUCUUAUAAAAACAACGGUAUGAAUUUGAAUGAUAUUAAAUGCUAAAAGAUAAUCAACAUGUCAUAACAUAGCAUUUAAAAGUAGUUAAAACGUAGUUCGUACGUAACAGAGUUUAAAAUAGAAAAUAACAACCAUAAAAAUAUCAUUUUUGAAAUAACAACCACAACGUGAGCAACAAAAUACUUAAGUAAAAUCCUAGACCACUGGACCACUACUCCUAAGAAUCUGGAUCAACCCGCUGAGAAUCCAAGUCCAUGUAAUCCAAUCAGUUUGACAAAUACUGAAGCUCUUCUUGAACUUGAUUGUUUGUCGUGUCAAGAGAAUCCAUCCUAUUUGGGAUGUAGCCUCGAAGCAAAAAUAACUCGUCCAUUAUCAUAUUACUGGAAAGACUGGAGUCAGAAGACGAUGAUUCAACAUGAAAUGAAGGUCGAGUAGGAGGAUAAGCAAAAGGAUUUCUUGGGUUAGCAGUCUGUUGAUCACCAUGUUGCAUAUAGAUCAUAUCGGUGAUAUCUCAAAAGAAUCACAUCUAGUGGAUCACAUUCACGUCGAAUUUAUUAUCUCAAGCAUCGAUUGAGAUCUUAGACUCUUCCGCAAAAGAAACCCCAAAAUACUCAAGUAUAGCAGUUAUGAGAAUAGCAUAAGGCAAUAGUCCAUAAUCCUUUAAAGGUCCACAUUUGUCUCAUUACCAUUAAUGCCCAAUUAAUUAGAACAUUAUGUUUGAUUGCAUACAUCAAUUUUAGUUCCAUAUCAUUUCAUUGCGAAAGAUUUGAAAUCUUUGGAACCACGAUGUAACUGUAAAAGUAAUGAAGCAAAUGACCCUCUAGGUUUAAAUUUCCAACAAGUAAAACAUUUCAGUUUCUCACAGAAGCAUUGAUAGGCCUUUGCUUACGCAUUUCAAUUUCCCUUGUAAAUAUCUACACAUAGAGUAGUAGAAAUCCAUCUUCUUAUAUCCUUCUAAAUUGCAUUAAAUGUCGAACUCUACUCUCGUCCCUAUGCAUGACAUAUUACCACAAAUAGAACUUAGAGUUCUGAAGUUGAUGGCAAUUUCUUUGCCUUUGACAAAAUAGAAGAUUUUAAUCUUCUCGAAAUUUAGAGUGCAUUAAAAUACUCGUACAAGUUCAGGAUAGUAAGAGUAGUGCAUUUCACAAAACUCAGAGUCUUUGUUGCAUAAAUAAGUUAGGGAAAAUGAAAUCAAUUUUCUCAAAAGAACUUAGCAUACCAUACUUUAGAGUAAAAUUGGGUAUUUGCAUGAAGUGCUCCUUCAAGGUUUUGCAUUGAUCCUUGUUAGUGAAACGACACGCCAAAUUUAAUUUCAAGGCUUUUCUAACUUGCGCAAGGACUUCCAUGGGUACUUUUUCCUUUUCUAGUAACUAAUUGGACUUAAACUGUAAAUCUUGUUUUCAGUUUUGAUGGAAAAUCAUUCCACACAAAGCUAAGCCUUAAAAAAUUUGGUCAACCGAUAAUUCUAAUUUGAAGAUUAUUGGUAAUUACCAUCUUUCUUAUAAUUACUUUAUCAAUAACCCCCUUUGAUAUUAAUUGAAGUUAUCUACCACAGACUUAGCAUGCCAAAAUCAUUUUGUGCUUCAAUAUCAACUUAUUUGCAUAUGGCCCAAAUCAUAUUAUUCCUAAUCUAUGGAGGAUCUUAAAGGGAGGCCUAAAACUAAUUGUAGGAAAAAUCAUGAAAUGAGUGCGUCAAGAGGAAAAGUGAGUUGUGGAGUAUGAAAGCAAAUUUGAGAUAUGUUAUAGGGUAUAUUCAUGCAGUUGGGAUUUUGUUUUGGUUGUUUUUGGCUUUGAGCAUGAGGCUUGGAGUUUUUAUCCUUGCUGAGAGCAUUUUGCUCCUACUUUUCCUAUGUUUUCUGUCCACUUUUCUCUAUUAAUAAUAGGAUCUAAAUCCUAUUUAAUUUUCUCAUUAAUAUGUUACUCUUGAUUACAUCUUCAGUCCCACAAUAAAAGUAUAGUGGUAUGGGAAAUGAACAUGUAUCUUCUUUACAAUCUCUAUGUUUAAAAAUUAGCAUUUUUAAAUGAGAUAACAUAGGUUAAAUAUGUUAUUGACAGUUUACAUAGCAAAUUUCCUGUAUUUUAGGCUAAUAGAGGCCUAUAAUAUUGCAAAAUUUCCCUUUAUGCAUCUUAGAAAGAUUCCCCUGAUUCAUGUCUUUCUCCCAUUCUUUUGUACUCCUUUUGUUAAUAAGUUUCUAACAAAUACCAGUAUUAUUCAAGAAACUAGAAAAGAAUCAAAUCCAACAUCAACUAACUUCACAGAAGACAUCCAAAUCAAAGACACAUCAAAUUGAACUAUCUAAAGAAGUUUAUACAAAAAUGAACAAAUCAAAAACUUAAUUGUAAAAAAACUUCAAUUUCAUCAAAUUUGAAAGAGUAAUAACAUCCUACCAACCUAUACAUUAUAGGAGCAAAAUGCAAGACAUACAUAAUGGAAGAGAGUAGAAAUAAAUUCAAUAUUGCAGAUUUUAAAUGCAGAAAACUUCUGAAGUUGAACCACUUCUUCUCUAUGAGCAACAUUACAUGCUUUAGGUUAUUGGUAAAACAUUAGGGUUUAAGAGAAAACCAAUCAAAUUGCAAAAAUUAGAACCAAAUGAUAAAAAUGAAAAGAAACUGUAGAAUGCGGUUUCCAUUUACCUGUAGAGGAGCAAAUGUUGAUGAGGUUGAUGAUCGAAUAAUGCUAGGGAUUUGAAUAGCAAUGUCAAUAACAAAGCUGAAGAAUAUGAUUUGAACAGUGAGUUAGGGGCUUCAAUUUGAACAUCGCCAUUAACGAAGCUUGAGAAUAGGAUUUGAAAGGUUAUUAGGGUCUUCAAUAACAAAGCUGAAGAAAAACAAUGGUGGGAGACAAGAAGUGAGAUAUAAGAAGAUAGGGUUUCACUAGCAUGGUUAAAGGAAAAUGAAAAAAAUGAGAAAUAAUAAAAAGGAUGGAGUGGAAAAGGAAAAUGG